UGAAAGAUUUCUUCCAAAGAUUGACUUUCAGGGCAUAUUUCCAACCUAAACGUGUAUAAACACUAAAGGGAGAAUUGAAAGUAAGUUUUAAUUCACAAUCGAUUUGAAAGAGUUUUAAUCGCCCACUGCCUCGCUAAAAGGAACCUAAUGGGUCAUACACCGUGUAAGGUAGAGAUUGAAGAAACAACGGAGAUGAGUAAGAAUAAUUAAAUGGUUUAAUUAUUUAUGGCAAGGAUUAAUUAAUAUGUUAAUUAAUCAAACGAAUAAAGUUCGUUAAAAGACCACGGGUUAGUUUUGGGCCUCAAGGCCCAAUGGGCUUCGAAUGUCAAGCCCAUUGACUUAAGUUGUAUGACAACUUAAUGAAAAAUAAUUCACAAAGGCCUUAAAAGCCCAAUGAAACCCUAUGGCCGGCCAUUUUGUUAAAGGAGUGGGUUUUGGACUUAAUUACAAGUUUGCCACUCCAAUGAAUAAAGGUAUAAAUAUGACUUUAUAGCCAAAAUUCAUUUAGGGUUUUCUUUUAGAGAAUUGGAUAGAAGAUAUCUCUCUAUUUUCUCUCUAAG
rnacentral:lncRNA from 1 species